GUAUUGGUGAUUCAAUGGUAGAAUUCUUGCCUUCCAUGCAGGUGACCCGGGUUCAAUUCCUGGUCAAUGCA
rnacentral:tRNA from 1 species